GUCCGCAGUCGGACGCAUAUGAUAGAACAUUUAGGUGGCAUUAGAGAGCAGCACUUUGCCCAGCGCUUCCAUCGCCGCGCCGGUUCGACGUGGUUGAGGUUGUUUCAGUUUAUUUCGAUGAUUCGGAUCUUACUUUUUAAUUAUGAGCGAAGCCCGGGUGAAACAGCUCACCUCAAUGCCGUGAGGAUUUGAUAGUAAUGGCGCUUCCCGUUCAACCGUUGCGUGCGAUUUUUUACACGACUUCUUGCUGAUAAGAGGAAAAAAGUGCUCCAUCAGGCCAUCAGGUGCACCCGACCUCGAAUGACACCUUGCCGUUGCAAUGCAGCUUCUGACACUACCCCGCACAGUCUGCCCAUUGUCCUGUGACGAUAUGAAGGUCACUGGAUCUCUCAGCCCGUCCAGACUCACAUACCCACUGUUAGAGACUGUACGGCCCCAGCACACGAGCGGGGCUGUAUGGUCGCGCCCGCCCCCGGCGCGGAAAGGCCUUGGUCGUCCACACGUCUGGGUAACCCGCGUCAGAGUGAGAGCGGCCCGUCGUCACUCCAGCGCGAGCACCAUGGAGGCGCGGUGGUGGUCACUGGCUCUCGCCGCCGCUCUGGCGGCUCUGGCCCGCGUGGAUGCCGCCAACCCGGUGCUGGCGAUUCCCGAGGACUGCCCGCUGCCCGAGACCACCCGGAAUAACAUCCUGCGGUACAAGACCAAGGUGGACAAAAUACUGCAGGCUGCGCUAGAGCAGAAGCAGUACCACCACGCCGCCUACGAUGGCCUGGAGGACUUUGUGGAGCGCUUCGGAGCCAGGCCGUCCGGCUCUGACGAACUGGAGGACUCCAUCGACUUCAUGAAGAAAAAGGCGGAGGACGACGGCUUCAGGGUGCACACGGAGGAAGUGAUGGUGCCACGCUGGGUCCGCGGGGAGGAGACGCUCAUGAUGCUUAGUCCUCGGCAGAAGAGCAUGUCUAUCCUGGGUCUGGGCACCACCAUCGGCACCCAGCAGUACCCGGGCGGCGUGCUCAGAGCCGAGGCCGUCGUCUGCGACAGCUUUGAGGAGAUGGAGAAACUCGGAGAGGCGAAGAUCAAGGGCAAGAUCAUGGUGUUCAACGCGCCGUUCGGAGACCCGGUGGACGAGCCGAUGAAGCGGUACGGCGCGUCGUACAAGUACCGUACCUCGGGGGCGGACCGGGCCGCCCAGUACGGCGCCGUGGCCGUGCUGGUCCGCUCCCGCACAGACUACAGUCUGUACACGCCGCACGGCGGAUCCCAGUACUACGGCAACAGCACGCAGAUCCCCGCGGCGGCCAUCACAGCCGAGGACGCGCGCAUCAUCGCCAGACAUUAUAAGAAAGGAAAGACAGUAAAGCUCAUGCUGAAGAUGUCUGCAGCCAACCUCCCGAUGCGGAAAUCUCGUAACGUCAUCAUCGACUACGGUCCUUCGGAUUCCACCGAGCUGGUAAUGCUGAGCGCGCACAUCGACAGCUGGGACGUCGGCGAGGGUGCCAUGGACAACGGCGGAGGCGUCUUCGUCAACUACCAUGCCGUGAAGUUGCUAAAGGAGCUUGGACUGAUGCCGCGUCGCACGAUCCGGGUAGUGUUUUGGACUGCUGAAGAGGAGGGCUACUUUGGCGGCAAGGAGUACGUCAAGAUGCAUGAAUUCGACAUCAGCAAGAUGCAGAUUGCCAUCGAGAACGACCUGGGCACCUUCCGUCCGGUUGGCCUUCGUGCGAAGGGUUCUGACGAGGCGGCCUGCUUCGUGAAGCACACCGCCUCCUUGCUGGGCGCUAUCAACGCCACAGGCGCCUCGGACAGCCCGUCACUGUCGGAGACCCACCUUCUGCACGACAAGGGCGUGCCGGCGGCGGCCAUCGACGUGGACCAGAGCCGCUACUUCUGGUACCACCACACAGAGGCCGACACCAUGGACGCGCUCGACCCGCACGAGCUGGACCUCUGCGUGGCCACCAUGGCUGCGUCGGCGUUCGUCUUCGCCGAUGUGCCAGACCGCGUGCCAAGGUAGACCGCUCUUCAGGUGCCCGCGGAGCCGCUGAUGGAGCUAAACACAGUCGUUCCGGUCGAACAGAAUUCGCGUGCUCUGCGGGGCUCGUCGUCGUCUCUGCAGGUCUCUCUGUGGCUGCUGAUGUCGCUCGCUGCUCUGGUGACCCCGUUCGCCGGUGGAGCUCCAGAGGCGUAGGGCGUGCGUCCGAGACCGACCGGGUGCUGUCUGUACCUACAGAGUGCCAGUCACGCUGAGUGAGUGUAUCCGGGUGCCGCAGACAGCGCCCACAGCGUGGAAGCCCUCUCCGCCGUCGUUUUUUUUUUUAGGAGUGAUGUUUUACCCGGUGACUGGACGGCUUCCGUCCCUCACAUAUGACACGUCUGGUGGUUGUCAUAGCAGGAGAGAGGGAGCGGUUAGUUUUGGAACUGAUCAAAGAGACAGAACGUCAGACUUAAUGAAUCUCUAGACCGCCCACUCGUGCUCAUGUUUACUUCGACGCUGCCAGGGCAUGGCGAGUAUUAGACGCGAACCUUAUACACGAUGCCAUACGACGUGGUAGUUACCUACAUGUACUCUUCUGUUUACCCCCACAUGCUAGUUAAACGCUAGUUUACAGUUUGGUACGAUGGAAGCUUUUUCGUUAUUUAGUUUUAGAAGAACGGCACACUGGCUACCCGGCUGGUUGGUUUUCCGAACGGAAAGUGUGCAGUUGCAUUUUAUUUUACACACAUGCCAUGUCAUACGAAUGUAUACUUAAACUGUGGAAAAUCUGCAAUACAAAUGCAACAUCAUGGUGCCA